GCGAGAAUAGCUCAGCUGGUAGAGCGCAACCUUGCCAAGGUUGAGGUCGCGGGUUCGAGCCCCGUUUCCCGCU
rnacentral:tRNA from 16 species